rnacentral:rRNA from 1 species
CAUGGCUCAGAUUGAACGCUGGCGGCAUGCCUAACACAUGCAAGUCGAACGGCAGCACAGAGGAGCUUGCUCCUUGGGUGGCGAGUGGCGGACGGGUGAGUAAUGCAUCGGGAUCUACCCUGACGUGGGGGAUAACCUCGGGAAACCGGGACUAAUACCGCAUACGUCCUACGGGAGAAAGCGGGGGACCUUCGGGCCUCGCGCGGCAGGACGAACCGAUGUGCGAUUAGCUAGUUGGCGGGGUAAUGGCCCACCAAGGCGACGAUCGCUAGCUGGUCUGAGAGGAUGAUCAGCCACACUGGGACUGAGACACGGCCCAGACUCCUACGG